rnacentral:lncRNA from 1 species
GCCGGCGCACCACACACCAGCACCGGCCAGUGGCACGCCCCGUAAAUAGCGUGGACCCGCCGGGCCUGCAACGGUACCCCCGUGGCCCGUGCCCGUCCAAAACGUUCGAAACAUUUUGAAAUAGCUCCGGCUCCGCUCCGCCGCCGCCCCCCUCCUCCUCCUCCUUCCCCUCCGGCCUUCUAGGGCUUCUCGCUCAGAUCCGAAAUACCGAGGUAGGCGGGGGCGGAGGCGAUUUCGUCCGCGAUCCGGAGGCGCGGCGGCCCUGUCGGUCGGCGCUUCUAAGCCACGGGACGGGAGGUCGAGAGGGGGAAAGAGAUUCCGCUGCCUUCGAGUCCACUCCACCCUGCCCCCCNNNNNN